CUCCUGGAAACGGGUGGUAAUGCCGGAUGCUCCAGUUGGAUGCAUGUCCUUCUGGGAAAGAUUCAUCGGUAUGGGAUGGGGUCGCGUCCUAUCAGCUUGAUGGCGGGGUAACGGCCCACCAUGGCUUCGACGGGUAGCCGGCCUGAGAGGGCGACCGGCCACAUUGGGACUGAGAUACGGCCCAGACUCCUACGGGAGGCAGCAGUGGGGAAUAUUGCACAAUGGGCGCAAGCCUGAUGCAGCGACGCCGCGUGCGGGAUGACGGCCUUCGGGUUGUAAACCGCUUUUGACUGGGAGCAAGCCCUUCGGGGUGAGUGUACCUUUCGAAUAAGCACCGGCUAACUACGUGCCAGCAGCCGCGGUAAUACGUAGGGUGCAAGCGUUAUCCGGAAUUAUUGGGCGUAAAGGGCUCGUAGGCGGUUCGUCGCGUCCGGUGUGAAAGUCCAUCGCUUAACGGUGGAUCCGCGCCGGGUACGGGCGGGCUUGAGUGCGGUAGGGGAGACUGGAAUUCCCGGUGUAACGGUGGAAUGUGUAGAUAUCGGGAAGAACACC
rnacentral:rRNA from 1 species